rnacentral:rRNA from 1 species
UCGGGAAUUUUGGGCAAUGGGCGAAAGCCUGACCCAGCAACGCCGCGUGAAGGAUGAAGUAUUUCGGUAUGUAAACUUCGAAAGAAUAGGAAGAAUAAAUGACGGUACUAUUUAUAAGGUCCGGCUAACUACGUGCCAGCAGCCGCGGUAAUACGUAGGGACCAAGCGUUGUUCGGAUUUACUGGGCGUAAAGGGCGCGUAGGCGGCAAUUCAAGUCAUCUGUGAAAUCUCCGGGCUUAACUCGGAACGGUCAGAUGAUACUGCUUUGCUAGAGUGCAGAAGGGGCAAUCGGAAUUCUUGGUGUAGCGGUGAAAUGCGUAGAUAUCAAGAGGAACACCUGAGGUGAAGACGGGUUGCUGGGCUAACACUGACGCUCAUGCACGAAAGCGUGGGGAGCAAACAGGAUUAGAUACCCACGUAGUCCCUGAGCGGGCUGGCAAGGCGCAU